rnacentral:lncRNA from 1 species
UCCUCUCGUGUCGUCUUCCGCCAUGGGCGGCACGGGAGGCAACGACCCGGCCAUCCCUUCACCCUCACCUCCCUCCUCCGCCUCGCCACCGCCCGAGUGGCCACCAGCAAAGCCGCGCGGGAGGCGGCGGCGAUAACCGCCAGAUCCGCGCCGCUCCGGCCGGAUCUGGCGGGGACAGGGACGACGUCGACGGCGGUGGGGAUGGCGAUGGCGGUGGGGAUGGUGAUGGCGGCGGGGAUGGCGAUGGCGGUGGUGGAGUUUGCGGAUCCGGCGACGGUGCGGCGUCCGACAGUGGAAGGAUCAUGUGGCGUCGGUGGCCUGUCCAUCGCCCGAUGCUGCCGCUUGUGGCGUCUGCUGGCGAUGGUGAUGCAAGGAGGACAGCCGGAUUCUGCUCCUCUAGGUCCAGAUCUGGCGCGUCCUCAGUCGGAGGUCGGGUGGUGUGGAGUCCGGUCGUCGUGCAGUUGGCAUUUGGGAGCUUCCGCUAUGGAUGCUUUGGUUAACAGGGUCUCCGAGGUGAAAACCUUGCUCCGCUUCCGUUUGUCAAUGCCGGGUUUUCGCCGGUUUUCCUGA